UACGGAGGAUGCAAGCGUUAUCCGGAUUCACUGGGUUUAAAGGGUGCGCAGGCAGGCGAAUAAGUCAGGGGUGAAAUCCUACAGCUUAACUGUAGAACUGCCUUUGAUACUGUAUAGCUGGAAUAUGGUUGCUGUGGGUGGAAUGUGUUAUGUAGCGGUGAAAUGCUUAGAUAUAACACAGAACACCGAUCGCGAAGGCAGCUCACUAAACUUUAACUGACGCUCAUGCACGAAAGCGUGGGGAUCAAACAGG
rnacentral:rRNA from 1 species